rnacentral:rRNA from 1 species
CGGACGACGCUGGCGGCGUGCUUAACACAUGCAAGUCGAACGGUGACGAGGAGCUUGCUCCUCUGAUCAGUGGCGAACGGGUGAGUAACACGUGAGCAACCUGCCCCAGACUCUGGGAUAACAGUUGGAAACAGCUGCUAAUACCGGAUACGAGACGGAGAGGCAUCUCUACCGUCUGGAAAGUUUUCGGUCUGGGAUGGACUCGCGGGCCUAUCAGCUAGUUGGUGAGGUAAUGGCUCACCAAGGCGACGACGGGUAGCCGGCCUGAGAGGGCGACCGGCCACACUGGGACUGAGACACGGCCCAGACUCCUACGGGAGGCAGCAGUGGGGAAUAUUGCACAAUGGGCGAAAGCCUGAUGCAGCGACGCCGCGUGAGGGAUGACGGCCUUCGGGUUGUAAACCUCUUUCAGCAGGGAAGAAGCGAAAGUGACGGUACCUGCAGAAGAAGCACCGGCUAACUACGUG